rnacentral:rRNA from 1 species
CCUUAGAGUUUGAUCCUGGCUCAGGAUGAACGCUGGCGGCGUGCCUAACACAUGCAAGUCGAGCGAUCUCUUUGGAGAGAGCGGCGGACGGGUGAGUAACGCGUGGGUAACCUGCCCUGUACACACGGAUAACAUACCGAAAGGUAUGCUAAUACGGGAUAAAAUAUUUUUAUCGCAUGGUAAAAAUAUCAAAGCUUUUGUGGUACAGGAUGGACCCGCGUCUGAUUAGCUAGUUGGUAAGGUAAUGGCUUACCAAGGCGACGAUCAGUAGCCGACCUGAGAGGGUGAUCGGCCACACUGGAACUGAGACACGGUCCAGACUCCUACGGGAGGCAGCAGUGGGGAAUAUUGCACAAUGGGCGAAAGCCUGAUGCAGCAACGCCGCGUGAGCGAUGAAGGCCUUCGGGUCGUAAAGCUCUGUCCUCAAGGAAGAUAAUGACGGUACUUGAGGAGGAAGCCCCGGCUAACUACGUGCCAGCAGCCGCGGUAAUACGUAGGGGGCUAGCGUUAUCCGGAAUUACUGGGCGUAAAGGGUGCGUAGGCGGUCUUUCAAGCCAGAAGUGAAAGGCUACGGCUCAACCGUAGUAAGCUUUUGGAACUGUAGGACUUGAGUGCAGGAGAGGAGAGUAGAAUUCCUAGUGUAGCGGUGAAAUGCGUAGAUAUUAGGAGGAAUACCAGUAGCGAAGGCGGCUCUCUGGACUGUAACUGACGCUGAGGCACGAAAGCGUGGGGAGCAAACAGGAUUAGAUACCCUGGUAGUCCACGCCGUAAACGAUGAGUACUAGGUGUCGGGGGUUACCCCCCUCGGUGCCGCAGCUAACGCAUUAAGUACUCCGCCUGGGAAGUACGCUCGCAAGAGUGAAACUCAAAGGAAUUGACGGAAGGGCGAAUCCAG